rnacentral:rRNA from 1 species
UCCAGACUCCUACGGGAGGCAGCAGUGGGGAAUACUGCACAAUGGGGGAAACCCUGAUGCAGCGACGCCGCGUGAGCGAUGAAGUAUUUCGGUAUGUAAAGCUCUAUCAGCAGGGAAGAAGAUGACGGUACCUGACUAAGAAGCCCCGGCUAACUACGUGCCAGCAGCCGCGGUAAUACGUAGGGGGCAAGCGUUAUCCGGAUUCACUGGGUGUAAAGGGAGCGUAGACGGCCAUGCAAGCCUGGAGUGAAAGCCCGGGGCCCAACCCCGGGACUGCUCUGGGAACUGUGCGGCUGGAGUGCGGGAGGGGCAGGCGGAAUUCCUGGUGUAGCGGUGAAAUGCGUAGAUAUCAGGAGGAACACCGGCGGCGAAGGCGGCCUGCUGGACCGCGACUGACGCUGAGGCGCGAAAGCGUGGGGAGCAAACAGGAUUAGAUACCCUCGUAGAU